GACGAACGCUGGCGGCGUGCCUAAUACAUGCAAGUUGAGCGCUGAAGGUUGGUACUUGUACCAACUGGGUGAGCAGCGAACGGGUGAGUAACGCGUGGGGAAUCUGCCUUUGAGCGGGGGACAAAAUUUGGAAACGAAUGCUAAUACCGCAUAAAAACUUUAAACACAAGUUUUAAGUUUGAAAGAUGCAAUUGCAUCACUCAAAGAUGAUCCCGCGUUGUAUUAGCUAGUUGGUGAGGUAAAGGCUCACCAAGGCGAUGAUACAUAGCCGACCUGAGAGGGUGAUCGGCCACAUUGGGACUGAGACACGGCCCAAACUCCUACGGGAGGCAGCAGUAGGGAAUCUUCGGCAAUGGACGAAAGUCUGACCGAGCAACGCCGCGUGAGUGAAGAAGGUUUUCGGAUCGUAAAACUCUGUUGGUAGAGAAGAACGUUGGUGAGAGUGGAAAGCUCAUCAAGUGACGGUAACUACCCAGAAAGGGACGGCUAACUACGUG
rnacentral:rRNA from 1 species